CCUCGCUGAGGUUGUAGCGCGCCCGCAGCUCCAGCUGCCGCAGCUCCAGCCGCUGCCGCUCGAUCAUCUCCGGCUCCGACUCCAGCGCGUCGAACACGGCGGCGCCCACCAGCAGAUUAGGAAACUGAGGCCUGGACAGUAAUGAGAAGAAUAAUGAAGAUCUUAGAGACCCUUGGACCUGUCCGUGCCUGCCCAAAGUCAGCCUGUCUCUUUGUCCGUGUUUGCUGUAGCUUUGGAGGCCUCCCUAUUUUCUCCGUAGCCUCCUUCUUAGUCUCUCUUUUCUCCUCUCUUCUUUGGAACCUCUGCACCCUCACACUGGAAGCAGGGACAGAGGGUGGACUCAGCCCACGACUGAGAUCUCUUACAGACCAACAGGUUGAGAUGAUCUCCCAGCUACUGCUCCAACUGCCUCCUUACCGGCUGCCUCGGCUCUGCUGACUUGGACUCUAACCCUCUGGAACUGUCUACCCCAAAUAAACUCUUCCUUCUAUAAUUUGC